rnacentral:lncRNA from 1 species
UCCAGAAACCACGCCUUCCACCAACUGCUGGGUGGUGGCCAGGUACACGUCCUCCUGCGGACAGACAGAUGGAAGACAGUCAACAUACAGUCUGACCAGAGUCAGGCACCUGGCUGUUCAGAGAGGCUGAGUGUGUGGUGGCUCAAAGGCCCUGCUCCUCCUGGACACAGACAGGCACCCCAUGGAGGAGGAGGCCAGUUCAGGCGGGGCCUGAGCCCCACCCCAGUCCUGCAGCUGCAUGACCACAGACGCGCUGCGUGGCGCGCCGAGCGCCCCGGAGGAGACCACGACGAAGGAGCGCAGCUCGGGAGCGGCCAUGAAAUCAGGAAACCUGGGUCUCGACACAGUGAGGUCUGAGGAACAGGACAGGAAACAAGAACUACCGUGAUUCCGAGGGGGCUGAGGAGCUGGAAGCGGCAGCGCUCGGAGAAACCACGGGCUCCGGAGAGGAGCCUGGAGUGCCAGGUGCCCGGGGGAGGCCAGGCGGUGGCGGGCGGCCUGCCAGCUUGGGGGCCCCUGGGGAUCCGGCGGGUCAGGGACCACUUGGCGCCAGCCAGCUGAGCCACAGGGCCGACGGUUGCUGUCCCUUGCCCCACACGGUGUCUUAGGUCUGUACACAGUACCGGUCACGGCUGUGAAUUCCAGGCUUCACUGCCUGUUAAACUAAACUUCAGGUUCUGGGAGAAAGACAGCCGUGGAAGAACUGCCGUUUCACAAGGCACCGAGGGCAGCACGACACCGCAGUGAAAACAGGCCGAGUCACAGGGUUCGCUCAGUCCCUCCUGGGAGGGGAGGGUUAGGUGUUCAAACAGGACCAAGCGCAACUGUCAGUGUGAGUCUUCAAACCUGUAUAACCGAGGCAAAGGCUAAAGGGGUGCUUCUCGUCAGGUGAACUGGCAAGCGCGGGAGGCAAAAGAGGAAUAAGCUGGGCUGGCGCACCACCUCUCAGAGCUCAGCUGAGGAGCGGACCCCGGGGGGCUGGCGGCCCUCUGCGCCUCUCGAGUGCAGUGCUGGACACAACGAGCCCAAGGCGGCUGCUACUGCGGCAGACGGGAGAGGCACCCAGGUCACGGCCGCUGUCUACGUUCAAAGAGGAGAGAGACGGCUUUUUCACACACAUUUGCUUUAUUUCCGUGUUCAGCCUGUUGAGAGAACCUGUCACAACCUGAAUGGUGGGGGGCGCA